AGAAUCAACGCUGGCGGCGUGCCUAACACAUGCAAGUCGCACGAGAAAGUGGAGCAAUCCACAAGUAAAGUGGCGCACGGGUGAGUAACACGUGAAUUAUCUACCUCCGAGUGGGGAAUAACUGAGAGAAAUCUUAGCUAAUACCGCAUAACACUUACGAGUCAAAGCAGCAAUGCGCUUGGAGAGGAGUUCGCGGCCGAUUAGCUAGUUGGCGGGGUAAUGGCCCACCAAGGCGAUGAUCGGUA
rnacentral:rRNA from 1 species